rnacentral:lncRNA from 1 species
GCUUCUUAUUUAUCUAUCAUCCAUCUCAUUUCGCAGCCUUGUUGAUUUUGGCCUGCCUUUCUACUUAGAUCUCAAAUGAUGAUGAUCAUGAAUACAUGUAAACAAUUGGAUCUUUCUCAACCAAAUAUUGGACUAGUGUGCCAAUCAUCUUUCCACUGACAUGUUUGUGGUCUCGACUCAAUCUCGUAAACAAACAAGUAUAACAACCCUCAUAUCUUGUGAUCUAAAAAUAUCUAUAUUUUUUCAAAUUGCAACACGAAAUCUCC